rnacentral:rRNA from 1 species
AUUGAACGCUGGCGGCAUGCCUUACACAUGCAAGUCGAACGGUAACAGGUCUCGGAUGCUGACGAGUGGCGAACGGGUGAGUAAUACAUCGGAACGUGCCCGAGAGUGGGGGAUAACGAAGCGAAAGCUUUGCUAAUACCGCAUACGAUCUCAGGAUGAAAGCAGGGGACCGCAAGGCCUUGCGCUCACGGAGCGGCCGAUGGCAGAUUAGGUAGUUGGUGGGAUAAAAGCUUACCAAGCCGACGAUCUGUAGCUGGUCUGAGAGGACGAACGGCCACACAGGGACUGAGACACGGCCCAGAAUCCUACGGGAGGCAGCAGUGGGGAAUUUUGGACAAUGGGGGCAAGCCUGAUCCAGCCAUGCCGCGUGCAGGAUGAAGGCCUUCGGGUUGUAAACUGCUUUUGUACGGAACGAAAAGACUCCUUCUAAUAAAGGGGGUCCAUGACGGUACCGUAAGAAUAAGCACCGGCUAACUACGUGCCAGCCGCCGCGGUAACAC